CCGGUCAGCAGCUUCCAGCACUUCUGUCCACUGUCCUCAGUUCUGGAUGGCGCCAUGUUGGCCUUAGGGACGACCUCCUCUGCCGAGAGGCAGGCGAGGAAGCCAGCCAGGUCUCAGGGUUUACGACGGCUUUUGACUGUGAGUAAUCUGCGCUUGCAUGUGUGAGCUGGUCUUGUUGUUCUUAUAAACAAGCCUCCAAGAACA